GCCUGGGUUUGGCUUGAUGGCAGGUCCGAUCCCAUAGGCCUCUCGCAGUGUCCCAUGCCAAAGCAAACUGGAAUCCCGAACCAUUGCCUGGCUUUACCCCGUGGGCUUCAGGCACUGAACCAUUUGCACAGUG